GUGUGAAUUGCAGAAUUUAGUGAAUCAUCUGAAUCUUUGAACGCACAUUGCGCCCCGCGGUACUCCGCGGGGCAUGCCUGUUCGAGCGUCAUUUGAAAACCUCAAGCCCUGCUUGGUGUUGGGCGCCUGUCCCCGCUUCCCGCGCGGACUCGCCUCGAAGGUAUUGGCAGCGGCCCCGCCGGCUCCCUCCCGAGCGCAGCAGUGCGCGCACGGCGGAGGGUCCGCUCGCGGCCCGCGUCCAUCAAGAUGCCCCCAAGUUUGACCUCGGAUCAGGCAGGGAUACCCGCUGAACUUAAGCAUAUCAAUAAGCGGAGGAAAAGAAACCAACAGGGAUUGCCCUAGUAACGGCGAGUGAAGCGGCAACAGCUCAAAUUUGAAAUCUGGCCCCUUUCGGGGGCCCGAGUUGUAAUUUGCAGAGGGCGCUUUGGCGUCGGCAGCGGUCUAAAGUUCCUUGGAACAGGACGUCGCAGAGGGUGAGAAUCCCGUACCGUGGCCGCCCUGCCUUCGCCGUGUCAGCCCCCUUUCAACCAAUCGAAGUUGUUUGGGAAUUGCCUCCU
rnacentral:rRNA from 1 species